GGGCCUGUAGCUCAGCUGGGAGAGCGCCUCGUUCGCAUCGAGGAGGCCAGCGGUUCGAUCCCGCUCAGGUCCA
rnacentral:tRNA from 1 species